GUCUUCUCAUUGAGCUCCGUUCUGUCUCUUGGUGGCAGUUUAUGGAUUCGCACGAGAAGAAGAAUAAUUCACAGAGCUAGCAUUAUUUUACCUCUAUGGAGGUAUAUUUGGCUGUUUUGUGAGACAUUC
ensembl:snoRNA SNORA75 Small nucleolar RNA SNORA75